rnacentral:rRNA from 1 species
CCUACGGGGUGCAGCAGUAGGGAAUAUUGCUCAAUGGGGGAAACCCUGAAGCAGCAACGCCGCGUGGAGGAUGAAGGUUUUAGGAUUGUAAACUCCUUUUGUGAGAGAAGAUAAGGACGGUAUCUCGCGAAUAAGCACCGACUAACUCCGUGCCAGCAGCCGCGGUAAUACGGAGGGUGCAGGCGUUGCUCGGAAUCACUGGGCGUAAAGAGUGCGCGGGCGGGCUUGUAAGUCAGAAGUGAAAGGCUGUAGCUUAACUACAGAACUGCAGUUAAAACUAUGAGUCUAGAGUGUGGGAGAGGGAGGUGGAAUUCUUGGUGUAGGGGUAAAAGCGGUAGAUAUCAAGAGGAAUACUGAUUGCGAAGGCGACCUACUGGAACAUUACGGACGCUCAUGCACGAAGGCGUGGGGGGCAAACAGGAUUAGAUACCCUUGUAGU